UACGGAGGGUGCAAGCGUUGCUCGGAAUUAUUGGGCGUAAAGGGUAGGUAGGUGGUCUCAUUUGUCUGGGGUGAAGGCCUUGAGCUUAACUCAAGAAGUGCCCCAGAAACGGUGAGACUGGAGUCUUGGAGAGGGUCGUGGAAUUCCCGGUGUAGCGGUGAAAUGCGCAGAUAUCAGGAGGAACACCUAUUGCGAAGGCAGCUCGCUGGGACGUAACUGACGCUGAGACGCGAAAGCGUGGGGAGCAAACAGG
rnacentral:rRNA from 1 species